GAUGAACGCUGGCGGCGUGCCUAAUACAUGCAAGUCGAGCGAACGGACAAGAAGCUUGCUUCUCUGAUGUUAGCGGCGGACGGGUGAGUAACACGUGGAUAACCUACCUAUAAGACUGGGAUAACUUCGGGAAACCGGAGCUAAUACCGGAUGAUAUUUUGAACCGCAUGGUUCAAAAGUGAAAGACGGUCUUGCUGUCACUUAUAGAUGGAUCCGCGCUGCAUUAGCUAGUUGGUAAGGUAACGGCUUACCAAGGCAACGAUGCAUAGCCGACCUGAGAGGGUGAUCGGCCACACUGGAACUGAGACACGGUCCAGACUCCUACGGGAGGCAGCAGUAGGGAAUCUUCCGCAAUGGGCGAAAGCCUGACGGAGCAACGCCGCGUGAGUGAUGAAGGUCUUCGGAUCGUAAAACUCUGUUAUUGGGGAAGAACAUAUGUGUAAGUAACUGUGCACAUCUUGACGGUACCUAAUCAGAAAGCCACGGCUAACUACGUG
rnacentral:rRNA from 1 species